rnacentral:rRNA from 1 species
CGGACGGGUGAGUAACGCGUGGAUAACCUGCCGUAUACUGGGGGAUAACACUUAGAAAUAGGUGCUAAUACCGCAUAAGCGCACAGUCUCGCAUGAGACGGUGUGAAAAACUCCGGUGGUAUACGAUGGAUCCGCGUCUGAUUAGCUUGUUGGCGGGGGUAACAGCCCACCAAGGCGACGAUCAGUAGCCGGCCUGAGAGGGUGAACGGCCACAUUGGGACUGAGACACGGCCCAAACUCCUACGGAAGGCAGCAG